GAUGAACGCUGGCGGCGUGCCUAAUACAUGCAAGUCGAGCGAACAGACGAGGAGCUUGCUCCUCUGACGUUAGCGGCGGACGGGUGAGUAACACGUGAUAACCUACCUAUAAGACUGGGAUAACUUCGGGAAACCGGAGCUAAUACCGGAUAAUAUAUUGAACCGCAUGGUUCAAUAGUUAAAGACGGUUUUGCUGUCACUUAUAGAUGGAUCCGCGCCGCAUUAGCUAGUUGGUAAGGUAACGGCUUACCAAGGCAACGAUGCGUAGCCGACCUGAGAGGGUGAUCGGCCACACUGGAACUGAGACACGGUCCAGACUCCUACGGGAGGCAGCAGUAGGGAAUCUUCCGCAAUGGGCGAAAGCUUGACGGAGCAACGCCGCGUGAGUGAUGAAGGUCUUCGGAUCGUAAAACUCUGUUAUUAGGGAAGAACAAAUGUGUAAGUAACUAUGCACGUCUUGACGGUACCUAAUCAGAAAGCCACGGCUAACUACGUG
rnacentral:rRNA from 1 species